AUGGACUGGACCUGGAGAAUUCUCUUCCUGGUGACAGUGGCUGCAGGUGUGAACUCCCAGGUGCAGCUGGUGCAGUUGGGGGCUGAGAUGGGAGAACCUGGGACAUCAGUUAAGAUCACCUACAAGGCCUGCUGUUACACUUUCACCAACUACUUGAUGUGUUGGGUGCGUCAGAUCCCGGGACAAGGUCUUGAGUGGAUGGGAUACAUGAACCCCAACACUGGUGGUACGAUCUAUGCACCAAAGUUUCAGGGAAGACUCACACUCAACGGAGAUAUGUCCACGAACACAGCCUACAUGGAACUGAGCAGGCUGAGCACUGAGGACACGGCAGUGUAUUACUGUGCGAGAGGCACAGUGUGA